CCCUUAGACGUUCUGGGCCGCACGCGCGCUACACUGACCAGUGCAACAAGCAUCCGUCCUUGGCCGACAGGCCCGGGCAAUCUUUGAACGCUGGUCGUGAUGGGGAUAGACUUUUGCAAUUUUUGGUCUUCAACGAGGAAUUCCUAGUAAACGCAAGUCAUCAACUUGCAUUGAUUACGUCCCUGCCCUUUGUACACACCGCCCGUCGCACCUACCGAUUGAAUGGUCCGGUGAAGCCUCCGGAUUGGCGCGCACCUCGGUGCCGCCGAGAAGUUGGCUAAACCUUACCAUUUAGAGGAAGGAGAAGUCGUANCA
rnacentral:rRNA from 1 species